rnacentral:sRNA from 1 species
GAACCAGCUGAGCGCAGCUGGACCCAGCAGCCGCUGUCUCCAGUGCCGCAGCAGCAGCCCAACAGCAUGGUGGUGGAACACCCCGAGUUCCUCAAGGCAGGGAAGGAGCCUGGCCUGCAGAUCUGGCGUGUGGAGAAGUUCGAUCUGGUGCCCGUGCCCACCAACCUUUAUGGAGACUUCUUCACGGGCGACGCCUAUGUCAUCCUGAAGACAGUGCAGCUGAGGAACGGAAAUCUGCAGUAUGACCUCCACUACUGGCUGGGCAAUGAGUGCAGCCAGGAUGAGAGCGGGGCGGCCGCCAUCUUUACCGUGCAGCUGGAUGACUACCUGAACGGCCGGGCCGUGCAGCACCGUGAGGUCCAGGGCUUCGAGUCGGCCACCUUCCUAGGCUACUUCAAGUCUGGCCUGAAGUACAAGAAAGGAGGUGUGGCAUCAGGAUUCAAGCACGUGGUACCCAACGAGGUGGUGGUGCAGAGACUCUUCCAGGUCAAAGGGCGGCGUGUGGUCCGUGCCACCGAGGUACCUGUGUCCUGGGAGAGCUUCAACAAUGGCGACUGCUUCAUCCUGGACCUGGGCAACAACAUCCACCAGUGGUGUGGUUCCAACAGCAAUCGGUAUGAAAGACUGAAGGCCACACAGGUGUCCAAGGGCAUCCGGGACAACGAGCGGAGUGGCCGGGCCCGAGUGCACGUGUCUGAGGAGGGCGCUGAGCCCGA